CCGAGGCUUAACCUCGGGACUGGUGGAGAUACUCAUGGAAUUGAGGAUUGGUAAGGAUGCUGGAACAGUUAGUGUAGCAGUGAAAUGCGUUGAUAUUAACUGGAACACCGAGGGCGAAGGCAAGCAUCUGUACUUUUCCUGACGCUGAGGCACGAAAGCUAGGGUAGCGAAACAGAUUAGAUACCUGUGUAGUCCUAGCCGUAAACGAUGUCCGCUGGCUCUUGCCGACUUGUCGGCAGGGGUCUAAGCUAACGCAUUAAGCGGACCGCCUGGGGAGUACGGCCGCAAGGCUAAAACUCAAAGGAAUUGACGGGGACCCGCACAACUGGUGGAGCGUGUGGUUUAAUUCGAGACGAAGCGAAACACCUUACCAAGGUUUGACAUGAUACCGUUUUAGUCCCGCAGAAAUGUAGGACGAUCCGCAAGGAUGGCACCACAGGUGAUGCAUGGCUGUCGUCAGCUCGUGCCGUGAGGUGUUCCCUUAAGUGGGGAAACGAGCGCAACCCGUAUCUAAUGUUAAAUAUUCAUUAGAGACAGCCCCAGUUUUACUGGGGAGGAAGGAGCGGAAGACGUCAAGUCAGCACGUCCCUUAUACCUUGGGUAACACACACCCUACAAUAGCGAAGAACAAUGGGCUGCAAGCCGGUAACGGCAAGCUAAUCCCAGAAAUUUCGUCUCAGUUCAGAUUGAGGUCUGCAACCCGACCUCAUGAAGUCGGAAUCAGUAGUAAUCGCGGAUCAGAAGGCCGCGGUGAAUACGUUCUCGGGUCUUGUACACACCGCCCGUCAAGGCAGCAAAGUUAAAAAGGAUGAAGCCCGCCGCAAGGUGGUCGAGUCCAAAUCAGCGAUGAAGCUAAGCGACAAUGGUGAGACCGCAAC
rnacentral:rRNA from 1 species